GUUGUGUUCCUGGUUCGAGCCCAGGUAGGAGCGAGGAGAGGGACGGAAGCUAUACUGUUACACUGGCAAUACUAUAGUGCCUAUAAGAACAUCCAAUAGUCAAAGGUUAAUGAAAUACAGAUGGUAUAGAGAGAAAUAGUCCUAUAAUUCCUAUAAUAACUACAACCUAAAACUUCUUACCUGGGAAUAUUGAAGACUCGUGUUAAAAGGAACCACCAGCUUUCAUAUGUUCUCAUGUUCUGAGUAAGGAACUUAAACGUUAGCUUUUUUACAUGGCACAUGUAAAAAAAAAAAAAAACUUUCUCUCCUCUCUCCAUUUCUCUGUAUGUUACUACCCUUACUCAGUCUCUCUCUCUCUUUCUCUCCCUCCUUCUCUCUCCAUUUCUCUGUACGUUACUGCCCUUACUCAGUCUCUCUCUCUUUCUCUCUCUCUUUCUCUCCCUCCUUCUCUCUCCCGCUCUCCUCCCUCCAUGUAGUCAGGCUGUCGCAAUUUAAAAUACGGUUUAAAUUACAGGACUGGCUGUGGCUUUCCAUCGUUCCGUCAGAGUUUUUGCCAACUCGCAAUUUGCCUAAUGGAAGCCUGCCAUGCUGUUGAACCUAAAGAUUAUUUGCAGAUGUUGACAGGCAAUGACUUUAUGAAAUGUUGGAAAUUGUCGCGUGUGCUUUUUGCAGGAACGGUUGGUUAAGUUGUGUUUGUUUGAGAGAAGUUCUGUUUGCCUUGUUUAAGGAAAUACUAGCUCGCCACGUUGUUGUUGAGUUGACUGUGUGUGUUUGCGCCCUAGAGACAUACGGGGCGGUGUGUGUGUGUUUGUGUGUGUCUGCUUAUGCGUGUGAUUGCUUUCGUCAGUGUGUGUGUGUGUGUGUGUGUGUGUGUGUGUGUGUGUGUGUGUGUGUGUGUGUGUGUGUGUGUGUGUGUGUGUGUGUGUGUGUGUGUGUGUGUGUGUGUGUGUGUGUGUGUUCCUGCGCUGCAUGAUGUGAUGGAAAGAGGCUACUUGAGACAUCACGCUGACAGCCAUUUUUCUCAUGCCUGGGCCAGAUGGAUAGGUGGGUGUAGGAGUUUCUCAUGCCUGGGCCAGAUGGAUAGGUGGGUGUAGGAGUUUCUCGUGCCUGGGCCAGAUGGAUAGGUGGGUGUAGGAGUUUCUCAUGCCUGGGCCAGAUGGAUAGGUGGGUGUAGGAGUUUUUCAUGCCUGGGCCAGAUGGAUAGGUGGGUGUAGGAGUUUCUCAUGCCUGGUCCAGAUGGAUAGGUGGGUGUAGGAGUUUCUCAUGCCUGGGCCAGAUGGAUAGGUGGGUGUAGGAGUUUUUCAUGCCUGGGCCAGAUGGAUAGGUGGGUGUAGGAGUUUCUCAUGCCUGGUCCAGAUGGAUAGGUGGGUGUAGGAGUUUCUCAUGCCUGGGCCAGAUGGAUAGGUGGGUGUAGGAGUUUCUCAUGCCUGGGCCAGAUGGAUAGGUGGGUGUAGGAGUUUCUCAUGCCUGGGCCAGAUGGAUAGGUGGGUGUAGGAGUUUCUCAUGCCUGGGCCAGAUGGAUAGGUGGGUGUAGGAGUUUCUCAUGCCUGGGCCAGAUGGAUAGGUGGGUGUAGGAGUUUCUCAUGCCUGAGCCAGAUGGAUAGGUGGGUGUAGGAGUUUCUCAUGCCUGGGCCAGAUGGAUAGGUGGGUGUAGGAGUUUCUCGUGCCUGGGCCAGAUGGAUAGGUGGGUGUAGGAGUUUCUCAUGCCUGGGCCAGAUGGAUAGGUGAGUGUAGGAGUUUCUCAUGCCUGGGCCAGAUGGAUAGGUGGGUGUAGGAGUUUAUCAUGCCUGG